rnacentral:lncRNA from 1 species
AGUGUAAUUGUUCGACAUAGAACAAAAAUGAAGUUGUAUUCCGAUUGGACGGUGGAAAAAUAAACUGGGAAUUGAUAAUUUGUAGAAAUCUAAACCGGACCUUGGGAUACAGCAUACAGUUAACUUGGAAUUUGAAGGUUGCAUCUGCUCCAGUUUUGUCACCGUGCAUCCAAGUUGAUGUUAACCGAUGGGAUGGGACAGACUGACAUGUUGACAGAAGUGAAAGAUGGUCUGAUGGUACAAUGAUGUACAAAUGAUACUCUUUAACAAGUUUAACAUGUCAAAGAUAUAUACCUGUGAAAUCUUCAGUGUCACCGUUCAUCUAUUGUUCAAGAUCAGUGUCUGCAGCUUGCGCAAUUUAGUAUAGAGGAACCUUCUGAAUCAAUUUUGUUACAUAUUUGCUGUUAUUGUAGGACGCAUAUGUAGAGAGCAACAAGUCCUGUCCAACUGUGCAUGUAAAUGUGAUUCAGAAACUUUGAGAAUAUGUAAACAUUACACUGUUAUAAUUUUCAAAAUACUGUGUCUUCGACUUGUAGUGUAUCAGUACUGUUUUGUCUCAGUUUAUAGCACAGUAUGUUCACAAAUCAAACUUAAGAUCUUAGUUAUCAUUAUUAUUAAAAUCAUUAAUUAUUUGUAUGGUGACAAAAUUUAAUGUCAUGCAAUACCACAGUAAA